rnacentral:rRNA from 1 species
UACGAGGGGGGCGAGCGUUGUUCGGAAUUAUUGGGCGUAAAGGGUGCGUAGGCGGUUUGGUAAGUCUUAUGUGAAAUCUAUGGGCUCAACUCAUAGUCUGCAUGAGAAACUGCCGGGCUUGAGUAUGGGAGAGGUGAGUGGAAUUCCUGGUGUAGCGGUGAAAUGCGUAGAUAUCAGGAGGAACACCUGUGGCGAAAGCGGCUCACUGGACCAUAACUGACGCUGAUGCACGAAAGCUAGGGGAGCAAACAGG